rnacentral:rRNA from 1 species
UACAGAGGGUGCAAACGUUAUUCGGAUUUACUGGGCGUAAAGCGUGUGUAGGCGGCUUGGCAAGUUGGAUGUGAAAUCCCGCGGCUCAACCGUGGACGUGCAUCCAAAACUGCUUCGCUAGAGUCUCGGAGAGGAAGGUGGAAUGCUUGGUGUAGAGGUGAAAUUCGUAGAUAUCAAGCAGAACACCUGCGGCGAAGGCGGCCUUCUGGACGAUGACUGACGCUGAGACACGAAAGCGUGGGGAGCAAACAGG